CCGAAUUGUAGCCCUGAGGCCCCACGGAGCAGGUCUGAGUCUGAGGAUGUCCCUCAGGUACUCAGCGAGCUCGGUUCAGGCCUCCCCUGCUCUAGCAAGGGACACCCCCUGCAGCCCGCCGGGGCAAACACCGCGGGGUCUUCUGGAUCCUUCUUCCCUGAUCUGGUCCCAGCUUGUCUCGACCCGUCGUUGAGAAGGGAGGUGCCCGGAACUGAAAAGGAUGGCCGUCUGCAUGCUCAUCGGUCCUACAGAAUGGAACCCAAAUGCCAGGCUGACAACAAGGAGCAAGACAGACUCCGGCCAUCAUGAAGCUCCCGUCCUGGUAGAGGGGUGGGGGAUGUGGGGAAAUGAACGAGGACAACAUCAGACAGUGACGCUCCGCAGAGCGGAAGCAGGUCCGACGACGAGGCAUGACCAGAGGCCAGGUGGCCUCUGUGAGGGGCUGACAUUCGUGCUGAGAUCUGAGUGACGAGAACAGCUGAAGCGAAGUCCCCAGUGCAGCAGCAGACCCCCUUCUCUGCCGCCUUUCGAAGAGGGAGAGGCGGAGGAGGAAGGACUCAGCGAGCCUCUUCCACACCCGUCCCCACAAGAGCGGGCCCCUUGAGUGCUCUCUCCCUCCUCGUGUCCUAGGGCAGGUGGCUGAAGUAGCCUGGAAGUCCCCUUCCCCACACCUGAGCAGCUGGAAUGGAGGCCCCUGGCUCCCUGCUCUGCUUCCUCCUGCAUCUCGAAAGAACCUUCCCAGAGCACAGAUGGGACGGUGCACCUCCUCUGAUUUAAAACCUCCCUUUGAUCUUCUGGGGAAAAAACGGUGCACUCAGAACGCACAGAUGAUACUCCUUAUCGAAAACAAGCUGUUCCGGGCACCGCUGCCUUAGCAGAGACCGUAACCGACUUGUCCAAGGUCACAGGGCUGGUGACUGCCUCCACUGGGAUUUGAAAAGAAUUCCAAACUCAUGACAGUCGAGGCCAGCUGUCACGGGGCCCCUCCAGCGUCUCCCCUGCCUCCCAGGGAGUGGGGAUGCCCCAAAAGGCAGGGCGCGUCCCGCCAUCAUGCUUUUAGCCUCUGCCAAGAACGCUUUCUCACCUGUUGGAGGUUUCCCCACCUCCAGUACCCAGCACGAAGCCACCCCUCAGCGUCUCAUGACCCUGGAAUCCAUCGACGACACACCUGCCUCCCACUGUCUUUGCAUAUGGUUGUUUCUGCCCACCUCUCGUCCCCCUCCGAGGGCAGAGGCUGGUGCGACAUUUCCCUCCGUGUCCUCACAGACCCGCGAUAAGGUGGUGGCUCCAGGAUGGGUGUCCCCACCACCACCGCCGUCUCCAUCGUGCUGUCACGACCAUGAGGCUCUGGACGUGGGAGAGCACGCCUCCCCCCAGAGCACGGACAGCCCCCUCCCCAACAUUUGACUUCCCGCUGGGUCAGAGGUCAAGUAGGCAGAAAGGCAGCAGAAAGCCGAGUUGGGGAAGUGCCUGGCACCAGAGUCUCCGGGUGGCAGAGUGGGUCCUGGGGCUGGCAGGUCACCAAGCAGAGCACCAUUUGUUCCCAAACAGAGUGACUCAGACCUGAUUCGUGCCCCAGCACCUCCCACCGCGGGGACCCGUGACGACCAGUGCCUGCUUCCUGGGAUUCCUGUGCACAGGCUGUGCCCGUCUGCCCCGUGGAGCAAAGGAGGGGUUGGGGGUGUGGGCACCUGGAGAGUCAUGGUUUCCAGGGGUGCCCUGGGGCAGUGCUCCUUACCCUUGGCUUCUCAUUCUUGGCCACACGAGCACCUGGGAGCGCAAAACAGGUGGUCAAGCCUGGGCCCCCGGACCGAGUUGGGGGUCAGAACAUCAGGGGACCCACGUAUGGCCUUUCUCAGCAGCUCUCUGGUGCUUCAGUCGUGUGACUGAGACAGGAAUCACUGGGCUCCAGGUGCGCCUGG